rnacentral:rRNA from 1 species
GAUGAACGCUGGCGGCGUGCCUAAUACAUGCAAGUCGAGCGAACAGACGAGGAGCUUGCUCCUUUGACGUUAGCGGCGGACGGGUGAGUAACACGUAGGUAACCUACCUAUAAGACUGGGAUAACUUCGGGAAACCGGAGCUAAUACCGGAUAAUAUUUCGAACCGCAUGGUUCGAUAGUGAAAGAUGGCUUUGCUAUCACUUAUAGAUGGACCUGCGCCGUAUUAGCUAGUUGGUAAGGUAACGGCUUACCAAGGCAACGAUACGUAGCCGACCUGAGAGGGUGAUCGGCCACACUGGAACUGAGACACGGUCCAGACUCCUACGGGAGGCCGCAGUAGGGAAUCUUACGCAAUGGGCGAAAGCCUGACGGAGCAACGCCGCGUGAGUGAUGAAGGUCUUCGGAUCGUAAAACUCUGUUAUUAGGGAAGAACAAACGUGUAAGUAACUGUGCACGUCUUGACGGUACCUAAUCAGAAAGCCACGGCUAACUACGUG